rnacentral:rRNA from 1 species
CCUACGGGUGACAGCAGUAGGGAAUAUUGCUCAAUGGGGGAAACCCUGAAGCAGCAACGCCGCGUGGAGGAUGAAGGUUUUCGGAUUGUAAACCUCUUUAGGCGGGGAGCAAUGCCGGGCACGUGUGCCCGGAGGGAGAGUACCCGCAGAAUAAGCAUCGGCUAACUCCGUGCCAGCAGCCGCGGUAAUACGGAGGAUGCGAGCGUUAUCCGGAUUUAUUGGGUUUAAAGGGUGCGUAGGCGGAUUUUUAAGUCAGCGGUAAAAUGUCCGGGCUCAACCCGGGCCGGCCGUUGAAACUGGGGAUCUUGAGUGGGCGAGAAGUAUGCGGAAUGCGUGGUGUAGCGGUGAAAUGCAUAGAUAUCACGCAGAACUCCGAUUGCGAAGGCAGCAUACCGGCGCCCGACUGACGCUGAGGCACGAAAGCGUGGGGAUCGAACAGGAUUAGAUACCCUAGUAGUC